rnacentral:rRNA from 1 species
AAUUUUGGACAAUGGGGGAAACCCUGAUCCAGCCAUCCCGCGCGUUGGAUGACGGCCCUCGGGUUGUAAAGUACUUCUGGCAGAGACGCAAAGGUAUCCCCUAGUACGGGAUACUGCUGCCGCUAUCUGCAGAACAAGCACCGGCUAACUACUGGCCAGCAUCCGCGGUAAUACGUAGUGUGCAAGCGUUAAUCGGAAUUACUGGGCGUAAAGCGUGUGUAGGCGGUUCGGAAAGAAAGAUGUGAAAUCCCAGGGCUCAAACUUGGAACUGCAUUUUUAACUGCCGAGCUAGAGUAUGUCAGAGGGGGGUAGAAUUCCACGUGUAGCAGUGAAAUGCGUAGAUAUGUGGAGGAAUACCGAUGGCGAAGGCAGCCCCCUGGGAUAAUACUGACGCUCAGACACGAAAGCGUGGGGAGCAAACAGG